rnacentral:lncRNA from 1 species
GCAAGAGAGAAAAAGGAGAGGAAGAAGACGAUAAAGAUAUCAGAAACAACAAUGGAAUGCCGCAAGAGAGAAAAAGAAGAGGUGUCGCAAGCGAGAAAAAGAAGAGGUGUCGCAAGAGAAAAAGGAGAAGAGGAAGACGAUAUCAGAAACUGAAUGUCGCGAAGAGUUUGCGGUUUAUUUAAAAUGAAAUUGGGCGUCGGUUGCUCCAGAAACCGACGUCUAUAGUCACAUAGACGUCGGUUAUCCCAUUAAUAUGACGUCCAAGUUAACAUUUAAACUGACUUUUUGAAUACCCAUUAGACGUCGGUUUUGAGGGGAGCCGAUGUCUAGGAAGCUAAACGGAUUGAU